UAGUACAACCGAGGUGCGGAGGGCUGUCGCUGACUUUUUGUCGUGCACGCCCGAAGCGCUCUCACACAAUAUCCAUCUCACCCAUUUGUGCAUCAUCGCGUGGGUCCUGCUUUUUGGCUUGUUCCGAGGAGGGGGGCUCGCGUUUUCACACAAAACUCGAUACAGUGUAGAAUGUUAUCUUUUGCGGUCACACGCAAUCAAUA
rnacentral:misc_RNA from 1 species